CUGAAUGGUUUCCCAAAAGAACUUUUCAGUUGUGUCAAAGAAAACUGAUUUAACAAAUUACUUAAAACAAAAACUCCCAUCUUCCUAGAUUAUACAUGGUUUAAUGAUUUAUUAAGUUGUAUAAAAUUGAAAAUUAAAGGCUUCUAGAAUUCCCAUAUCGAUGAUAUUCAAAGAUAUUCCUAGAUUUAAUCAGAUAAAUUCAAGGGAGGUUUGUAAACAUACUUUUAUUUUUCUUUUCAGCUAGAAGAACAAUCAAAACACAUAAGUCAAAAAGAAGAUGUGGCUGCAUUAAAAAAAACAAAUUUAUGACUUAUCAAUGGAAAAUCAGAAAGUGAAGAAGGCCCUUUUAGAAUCACAGACAAACACAGCCUUCCUUCGGAGUGAAUUAGAUACAUUGAAAAGUGAUUAUGCUGAUCAGAGCCUGAAUUCUGAAAGGUAUCUUGAUGUGAGUGACUGCUGACCGGUAACUGAUGUAGGAAUCCAUGCUCUGGCAAGAAGCUGCCACCAGCUCAACUAUCUGGACCUGAGCUCUAAGCUAAUUCUUGCAAAAUAUUCCAUUAUAUAAAUGUGAUAUAUUUCAAUAUUAUCCUACUCUCAAACAUACAAGUUCCUUCUAAUUUUACUUUUGAGAAAUAACAUAGUAAUAAAUACCCUUGUACACAAAUAUUUGCAUUCUUUGAUUAUUCCAUGGAUAUAAAGACCUGGAAGUAGAAUACUAGUUCAGAAGUUGUGAUAUGCACAUUUACUAAGAUUUCAAUAAGUAUUGCUAAAUUGCUAUUCAGAACCACUGUACCAGUUUAUUCUUCCAGUAGUAGUGUAUGAAAAUGCCUGUUGUCAAUCAUAGGAAACCUCAUUGCUCUCUUAAAUAUAUAGCCAACAUUAUGGAGGAGUG